AUCUAGCUGACUAGUCUCAAACAGGACAAAACGCGCGUCCUGGAU
rfam:Schistosoma curassoni strain Dakar, Senegal genome assembly, scaffold: SCTD_scaffold0012012